UUAUUUGGAUCUUAGUAAUUGUAUUAUUAGUGGGCAUUAUCUUUGCAGCAUCUCUGAGACAAAAUUAGGAUGGCAUCAUGAAGAACAAACAAACGUAAAUUCAGGGGGAACAACAAAGGCUCACCAUUACAAACUUCAAAUACAGCUAUGGCUACUUCUGCCUAGAUGUAGGAGCAGUAUUUCCAAAUUACAUACAAGAAGAUACCCAGAGAGUAGGGAUGCCUCCCACUAGACCAGGUUGCGCAAAGCCCCAUCCAACCUGGCCUUGGACACUUCCAAGGAUGGGGCAGCCACAGCUGAUGUGGGCAACCUGUGCCAGAGCCUCACCACUCUUAUGCCUUUUUUGGGGAAAAGUCAAAACGUGUCUUGGGAACAAGAUGUAGCCAGUAUCCAUGUGUGUAUAUAUAGUACAGAUUGUAACCUUGUUUGCAUAUGCUGAAUGUAACCAUAUAGAAAUACUCAGGCAAGCACUGACUAAUAUUCUAGCAGUUAGCUUUACAUAAUAAAGUCUGAAAUUGUUGGUUUCCCCAA